GUGACAAAUACCAGCAGCUGCGGGACCCUCCACCUCAGACCAGAUCCCAGAUCUACAGGGCCCUCAGAGAAAGGGGCCCUCUCUGUAAGAGCCUGCUCCUCCGCCACACUGAGCGCCACCAGCAGCCAAUCAGCAGAGAGAAUUUCUGUUUUUGUUUUCUUUUAAUCACAAGAAGGAGUUGAGGAGGACUCUUCAACCAAUGAGGCUCAUCCAGGAAGGUCAUGGAAGACGGGAAAUCCAGAGACCUGGAACGUGAACGUCCAGAAAAGUAGGAGAAUGAGGGGUCUGGAUUGAAGGAGGCCAGACAAAUGGGGACACCAUGCCAGUCUGCAACCUGCCAAAGGUUCACUAAACUCUACUGCAGAAAAGCACAAGACACAUAAUAAGAACAAGAUUUCUAAGUAUUUCUGGGGGAAUUUGGACUGGAGAAAUGAUUGUGAAGUCUCUGGUGGAGGGGAGCAGAUGGAUCCAGGAGGUACGCAUCCAUUAUUUGUCACCUUGGAGUAGACUGGAGAAGAAUCUGAGUGUGCCAACACUUGUUCCUGUCAACAUCAGGCAUAAAGCAGUGGUGUUUUUAGAAGUGGGACAGGAAGAACAGGAGAAAGUCAUGAGAAGACUGAGGACAGGAACGGAAGGAAAAGAAAGACCAGUGCGAUGCCUACUGUUCAUUCAAGCCUGGAAACAUCAAAGCAGCUUCAUGGGACACAAAGGCUGUGAAGCGGAAGGACAAAGAAGAUGCAGGUGAGAAGACCUCGGUGGCGCUCACUCCAAUUCCAGGCCAUACCGUGUGAGCUACGUAUCUUCAAGGACUUCAGCCAGAUGGGGAACUGGAGAAAAAGCCGGGGAUCCAACGUUGCAUGACCUCCAAACAAUCAGAUCUGUCCCAUGUCUUAAAAGAAGAGUAUCACCACAGCAGCCCCACUGUGCACAUCCAGCCAGCCAGUUAAAGAGAUGAAGUUCAAACAGCCCCAAGAACUGAAGGUUUUGCCCAAGAACUUCCACUCAUCCUACGAUGGAGUGGACCACGAGUGAUGCCCGUCAGCAGCUGGAGCCUCACGCAGACACACACACACACUGAUGUUCAUAGGCUAGAUUGGUUACAGUUGUUCAUUAAAAUGAGCGUAAUCAUAUUUUUGCAUUAUUUUUUUAAUGCAAAAAUAUAAUUAGUAAAUGCUGUGAACAGUAAAGUGUUCUCAAUAUUAUAAAGAUCGAUGGCAUCGAACCAACAGCAAGCACACCAAAAGGAUUUACAGAAAAUGACCAGCAGGUGCUGCCCUGCACCUCCCUCAGCUGUGAUCACCUGGAGCUCCACUGGAGUUCAUCCUGCUGUGUUUAAAGACUCAUCACACCUGAGAUGGUCCAGUUAGUUUUAUACUCAAGACUGCCGACAUUUGAACAAAUUUCUGAGUAAAAAAAGGGGCUUUGCACCUUUGUAGCCAUAGAUUAUCAUUUAGCACAAGUAGCCUCUACCCAUCAAUACCGGUACCUGAUGUGAUUUUUUUUUUAAAAAUAAAAAGCCUUGAUGGCAGAUGCAACCCAAUAAGACUAAAUAAUUAUAUCAUAUUUUAUUAUUAAGCUCAGUUCUGCUUUCACUAAAUUUGCAGUUAGAUAAAUAACCGGGUGGGAAAAACCAUGGAUGACUCAAAACAUGCGCCAAGUUAAUGUAUUUAUUCUUAAUCAAAAGAAAAAGGCUUUAAUCAACAAACAACGUAUCAACAACUAAACAACACAGGAUGCGACACAAUAGGCCACACAGACUCGGCGCUGGGGAAGCACACACGUCGCCCACCACACGGCUUCCACUGAGCGGGAAUGCCGCCUCCACGGAGUCACCGACCUCACGACGCGAGGAGAAGUUGCCAGCGGCACCCCGCCGGUCACGUCCUACAAGUCACGAAGUAGAUCACACAGUAGAUCACACAGACUAAUGCGAGCCCAAGGAAGGGUGAGUGGAUGAGUGAGAAGUGAGACGUCGGGUUCGAGAGCGCUCCACCGGCUCUGCUUAUGUGGCCCACUAAUUGGCCCCAGCUGUGAGCUCCACCCCACGUCACACUCAGCGGGUACAGGUACACACCUGCAAGAGAGAGACAGACACACCCACAGCAACGCAAACACAGCCCACGGACCUCACGGGUCGUAACACCCGUUUACUGAGAUGUGCGCCUUGAUUUGGAACCAGGUCCGAUCAACAAGUUCCCAGGCUCCUGUUAUUGAAGCUGUUCCAACAUCAACUGUAAAAUGUGAUCAAAUAUCUCCUCCGCUGCGAGGAAGAAGUCACAGGGCCCAGUUUGAACGAUCUAAGUGCGUGGCGUGUUUUGGGCGCAACAUGCAACAAACCAAUCAGAUUUGCGUGCGCUUGCACUUUGGCGCAUUGCUAUCAUGAUAGCAGAUGAAUGGCGCAGUAUAAAACAUCAAGUGACUGAUUGAACAGCAGAUUAACAGCGAUCUAAAAACUGUCUCAUGAAGCCAGAUGUUCCUCUGCAGCUCUGUGUUCAUCAGUGAAGCAGACUGGAGUCUGGGACCAGACAGACAGACGCUGUCUCCUCUAUGAAGCGUCUGGAUCCUCACUGCGCUGCGUUAUUAGAAACUAUGAUGAACCGGUCGGGGGGUCACAUCUCUCCCCUGCAGUGGUUUAAUUAUUUUGUGUUUUGUUGCGGAAGGAGUGUUUAAUGAUUUACUUUCAUGAUCAGAGAGGCUGCUAUCAGUCAUUUAAAACGUUUCCAUGUGCGCAAAAAAGUCGCAACAAAUAUCGUGGGGCAUUCAAGAAGCAAAAAAAUUAUAAACUUGACAUAACAGGACAGAGGAAACUCUCCAGAAGGCAGAGCAAUCAACUUUUAGCUUCUGAAAUAAUUGAGACGCUCUGAGGGGGCUCAGGAUCGAUCGGGAGGACGCUGCUUUACUCCAGUUUCACUGGACUGUGUGCGAGAAGAACUCAGAACAUCAAUUAACAUUAGAUCCUGACCGAUCCUGUCACUUCUCGGGAGAUUUUAAUAUUAAGUUGUUGCUGUGCCUCGUGCGUAAAGUGGAGUAAAAAAUAGCAAAAAACAAACAGUGAAAUACUGCGCCGCUGACUUGCUGUUUGGUCAAUGGUACAGUCGCUUUCCGUUGCUUCACAAUAGGAAUGCGCCAACAAUUUGCCUGAGUGACCACAUCUUAUUUUAACACUCCCAUGGACCACAAUCUGCUAUUUAAACAACAUGGGCGUUUGGUGUAAAAAUGACAACUGCGUCGGUUAAAACCUCUCACACACAGUCCAGGUUCAUCCAGAGAAACUGUUUGGAGUAAAGCAGCCGUCCUCCUGAUCAGUCCUGAGCGCCAUCAGAGCAUCGAAAUUAUUUCAGAAGCUAAAAGUUGAAUUCUAGUUCCUCUGCAAUUUCCUCUGCCCUGUCAUGUCAAGUUAAUGACUUCAGCCUUUGUAUUUUUUGCUGCUCAAAUAUCCCACUAUAUUUGUUGUGACUUGCGCACAUGACGUUUAAAUUGACCGACAGCAGCCUCUCUGGGAGAUGUGACCCACAACCGGUUCAUAGUUUAUAGAAACGCAGCGCAGUGACAAUCCAGACGGUUCAUAGAGGAGACAGCGUCUCAUGUCUUACUGUAUAAAGAGCUAAGCGCCCCCGUAGUUCGCACCCUGGGAGGACCUGACCUGUGGCGCACUGGCAUUUGGGUUCUCUAUCAUCACAACGCACUCUCACAUUGCAUUUGGAAACGGGCAGUUCAUCAAGCUGAAGUGUAGCUAUUUUGACUCAGCAGAGGAGAUCAUAUUUGAUCACAUCACUCAUCACAGAUGUUGGAUAAGCUUAAAUAAGGUGACUUCCUGGGAGGUUCCAAGUCAGUUUCCAAACUUUUUUUUUAUUGCACCUGGUUUCAUAUGCUAUGUCAUAUCAAGGUACAUAGGCCUGUAAUAAACCAAUUAA